rnacentral:pre_miRNA from 2 species
GCUAGGGAGCCGACAGAAGAGAGUGAGCAUAUAUAGUUCUUUCCUUGCAUAUGUGGUCAUAUGUGUGUUGACUGAAGAGAUACAUAUAUAUAGAGAGAGAGAGUUCAUGUGCUUGAAGCUAUAUGUGCUCACUUCUCUUUCUGUCAGCAAAUUAUC